rnacentral:rRNA from 1 species
AGCCCCUACGGGACGCAGCAGUGAGGAAUAUUGGUCAAUGGGCGGGAGCCUGAACCAGCCAAGUCGCGUGAGGGAAGACGGUCCUAUGGAUUGUAAACCUCUUUAGGCGGGGAGCAAUGCCGGGCACGCGUGCCCGGAGGGAGAGUACCCGCAGAAUAAGCCACGGCUAACUACGUGCCAGCAGCCGCGGUAAUACGUAGGUGGCAAGCGUUGUCCGGAUUUACUGGGUGUAAAGGGCGUGUAGCCGGGCGGACAAGUCAGAUGUGAAAUCCGGGGGCUCAACCCCCGAACUGCAUUUGAAACUG